CCGAGGGUAAAAAGGGGAGAUAGCUAAAUUUACUUUUCCUUCUUCUUUUCGUGGCGAAUGAAAAUACCAUUUAGGUUUACAUUCUCUUACUUUCUUCUCUCGUUGUCUCUCCUUCUUCAUUGCUUCCUGUUUUGGUUUUGAGGUGGUUGAAUCGGUGGUUGUGGAGGUUUUUCGUGGAUUUGAAGUUGUAGCAUCAUUGUGCCGCUUUCAAUCGGUC
rnacentral:lncRNA from 1 species